AGUCCUCGCACGCCUCGCACUCGCAUGCCUCAAUGAAAAAAGACCAGCGAAAAAAGACCUACGAAAGAAAAAACAACGACAAAAAAUCAGGCGACUCGCACGCACGAGCGAGGCCUAUCCCGUCGCCACCGCCCGACGCCGCCAGCCCCGUCCUCCUCCCUGGCUCCCGGCGCCGCCCGCCCCCCAUCUCCUCCUGCGAUCCUGGCGUCGCCCCGCCCCACCUUCUCCCUCACUUCCGGCGCUACCUAUCGAUCCCCUCGACGACACAGAGCCGCCGUCCUCUCGUGCGAUCUCGCAGCCGCAUCCGCCAACGCCGAUCCGGGCAGACGCGGCCGUCGUGGAUCACGAGGAUCCGGAUGAUGGGGGCGUGGAGAUGGCCAUGGAUCUGUUACGGCGACGACGGCGCCGGAUCCGCACCCGCAACAUCCGGAUGGAGGCCGGCGACGAACCCUAGCCUAGCCGUCAGCAUCGGGAUCCAACCCCUUCUCUCGGUGUUGGGGCAAGGCGUAUGGGGGUGCUUGUUGCGGCGGUGGACCUCGACCCGGCGACAUCUGCAGCAUCUCCCUCCCGUCGGGCUGCAGGACCUGUACGCCCAAGAGAUGUGAUGUAUGCACCUCAUGGUACACAUAGGGUUUUGAUUUGCUUUCCUUGACUGCAGAAGAUGUUAUUAUGAUGAGCCAGGUCAUGGUCUGCUACUGCGUGCAUGACAACAUGAGGUGUCGCAAUCGGUGCGGUAUGCUGGUGAUAGAUGUUCUCGAUUGUGAUGCCCAAGCCUGUCUGCCGCAAUUGUGUGUUCGUUACUGCUGAGAUAAGCGUAUCCAGAUCUUUUGACCCUUCCACGAAAAGGUGUAACAUGGUAAAUUUGUCGCAACAAGCAGCAUGGCAUUCUUGAUAGCUUUUCUCCCUAUUAUGACUUGCAUCUUUCUACCCUGCCCCAAAUUAAAUUUGAUUGGGACUGUUUGAUUGAAUGUCAAAUAAAGAUCAACUUUAUCUCUGAUCGAUUCAUGGAAAUGGAAGCUGAAUAAUAUUCUGAUUAUUACUUGCAUGCUAUAUUCACUGUUUUUGGUUUAACAACUUGCAAGUGUUUCUUUUAAUCCGCAGAAAAAGGACUCACGGGUGGACAUCUGCUAUAAAUUACCUAGGCCUGGUCAUCUGCGUGAGUUGCAUCUGUCAUUUUUCUUCCCAGGUAGAACAUUAGUUUUAAUUAAAAACAAGGUAGAACAUUAGUGUUCUCCACAGUUUGAUGGGAACACUUUGACUUUCUGUAACCCCUAGAUUUGGUAUUUCCUGAUGAUUGCUUGCGGUUCUUCUUACUUUCUGGUAUAAAUAGAGAAAAAUGAGGAUAUUGUAAUUAUUUUAGAAUGUUCAAGAUUUAGGUGUCCAUACUGUGCUAACUAUGGUCUGAAUUGUUUUGGGGAAUCAUGAUGUCAUGUCGUGAUUACACAAUUCCAAGCUGUGGUUCAGAAGCACACUUCGCUAAAAUACAUGCAAUCGUUUUUUUGGGUUUUCUUCUCACAAUAUAUAUACGUAAAUCAUGUAAUUUGCAACCUUGGUAAGUGCACCUCGAGCUGGCUGAAACAUGCCUGUUCCAAUCAUGAACGGACAUGAAGGCAGCCGGUGGGAUUUACUAUUGCGUCUCGACCUACUCGGAGCAGGAGAGGCCAGGCUGUGGCAGCCGCGGUCGUGGCGUCGUGCACGUGGCAUCGACGCAGGUGAGAAUACAUCUAUGGUAGUCUCGUGGGCCGAGCGUCAAGGUGAUGGUAGCCGACCCUCCACGCCCCCUCUAGGGAUGGGAAGUGGCGGGCAGAGUACCUCCCCCGCGCAUGUCAGAGUUGCAAACACUUUCAAUUUCAACUGUGUGGUGAUCAAGACAUUCUGUGUUGCUUGGACAACCGAGCUAAGACGGCGAUGCCACCACCUACUUGUAUCUGUACAGGAACUCCGGUGAUUAUUUCUUUUCCAAAAAUGAAGAAGCUUGUCGUUCAACCGAUGACAAAACACCUAGAGUACGUGCAAAAAUUACUACUUCCUCAUUUACAGCAAACUCAUUGAUACGACAAAGGCAAAAUUUUGGGUGGCAAGGUAUAUGAUUAGAUCAUGUGUAAUCUUCUAGAUGCAUUUUUCUAUUCUUCCAUUGUGUUCUUUAGACAUGCCUCUUUUUGUUAUUUUACAUCAGUUAACUGAAGUUCAUAUUAUUCCUUUAUCUGAUUGUAGCUUCAAAGUUUGAUUACAGCAGAGUCAUUGAUACAACAUACACAGUUUGUGAAUUUACCUACUACUACGAGUUACGUCAUAUAGCAAUGUUUUCUUGCCUAGAAAAAUAUUACAUGAAAGGCCUAAUGUCUUGUGAAUGUGUAUAGUAGCUACGAGUAGGUGGUCAAACUGUACACCUUUAAAGCAUGAAUAAGGUGCUAGCUUAUGUGCUGCAGUUGCUUUGCAUUGUUCAGAUGCAAUGUGUUUUCGCUCAGCGGGAGCACUUCUUCUGAUUAUUUAUAAUUUUUAGUUUGCUUCUUAUAAUUUUAAGACAAUUUUUGCGACUUGGAAUGUAUAGCAUCCCCCUUUUCUCACUGGAAAUGACAUGUAAGAACAAACCAGUUCCAGUUCUGGCAUAGUUCUGAUGGUUGAAGUGUAUGUCUAUAUGAUUUAGUAUAUGCAUGGGAGUACCCGCUAAACGAUGAAGCAUAUUGUGUCGUGUUAGCUCCAUCUAGCUUUAUUAUCUUGAAUUAUGUAUCUAGAUUUUGUAUGUUGUAUUCCCUUUCACCGCGUCUACAUACUUGAUGAAGCUUUUUUCUGAUUGCAAAGUAUGUGCAAGUCAGUAGUGAACACUCUAUAUCGUUGUUCUUGUUCCAGAAAAGCAAGAUUCAGCAAUUUCCGCAACAUUUCAUGUCCGUUCCAUGUAGUAGUUUUUGCGGAAUUAUAUUGAUGAUUUCCUUUUACCUUCAGAUUUGCUUAGUUUUCUUAGCAAACACAAAAUGCUUUGCGUCUUGAAGCAUUGAUAGAAGCGAACAUAAUUCAUGAUACAAGCCUAAUACUCUGAAAAUAUUUUUAUGGUUCACUAUUCCUAUGAGGGGAGUGAGUGGAGACAGCCAUGAGUGGCUCAACAUGUCGAGCAGCGGCCGCCUAUGAGGGGAGUGAGUGGAGACGCGCAAAUAUGUGUGGUGGAGGGGCAACGGAAGCUUGAACGGAAGAUUCGUCGCCAACAUCGAAGAAAUCUAUGGCCUGAUCGACCCUAAAGCUCCUGCAUGGACAUGAAGGUGACCGGGGGCAGAUUGCCGACAUUUGCCACACUAUGGGCAAUCUAUGUGAUGAUCUGCUCUCCGCAAUCAAAGCCAGGAAUGAGCGGCAAGAUCUCUUCGGGAAUGGCUGAUGAGGAAGAAUUGACUGCGGGGGAAUGGUGGAUCUAGGUGGAGUUCGCUUUAGCCAGUGAGGGACGAGCUUUAGUUGUGUAGGGGAAGGGAAGCCACAUGCAUGAGUCAGACAUAAUAAAUCGGCUCGAAAAUGACUCUGUUAGUCCAGAAUCUCGUCUUAGACGACCCAUAUGGUGGUCUGACAUUCGAUCCGGUGUGAAAGUGCCUCACAUAGUCAUGUUUCAUGGACUUCAGAUGUGGGCCAUAUUCACUGUUCAAAAGAAGCAUACAUAGAUUAUUAGUGGCCUAUGUGUGUUGGGCUGUAAAUCCCGGGGCAACUUGAUGGGAGGGAUAACGAGCACACAUGUGCUCCAACACAUAAUAGAGUGCAUAUAACAUGGCUUUCUCACGACUUUAUGCCACUAAUAAGAAGUCCUUCCAUUUUAGAUCAUGAGUUGAUGAAAUUUAUUCCUCAAUAUAUAUGAUAAUUUAGGAUGUAACCA